rnacentral:rRNA from 1 species
CCUACGGGAGGCAGCAGUAGGGAAUAUUGCUCAAUGGGGGAAACCCUGAAGCAGCAACGCCGCGUGGAGGAUGAAGGUUUUCGGAUUGUAAACUCCUUUUGUUAGAGAAGAUAAUGACGGUAUCUAACGAAUAAGCUACGGCUAAUUCCGUGCCAGCAGCCGCGGUAAUACGGCGGGUGCAAGCGUUACUCGGAAUAACUGGGCGUAAAGAGCGCGUAGGCGGGAUAGCAAGUCAGAUGUGAAAUCCUAUGGCUUAACCAUAGAACUGCAUUUGAAACUGUUAUUCUAGAGUAUGGGAGAGGUAGGUGGAAUUCGUGGUGUAGGGGUAAAAUCCGUAGAGAUCAAGAAGAAUACUGAUUGCGAAGGCGACCUACUAGAACAUAACUGACGCUGAUGCGCGAAAGCGUGGGGAGCAAACAGGAUUAGAUACCCCAGUAGUC